rnacentral:ncRNA from 1 species
UUUGGUCACCCGCCGAGGGUGCCAAGAGGGAAGCCGGUGAGAGUCCGGCGCAGUCCCGCUGCUGUAAGCUCAGUUGUUGAAGCUCAAUAUGAUACGUCACUGUACAACGUCAUAGUUGCAUGGGAAGACAGAGCCGAAGAGAGCAAGCCAGAAGACCUGCCAAAUCGC